CGACUUACCAACCCGAUGCAAACUGCGAAUACCGAAGAAUGUUAUCACGGGAGACACACGGCGGGUGCUAACGUCCGUCGUGAAGAGGGAAACAACCCAGACCGCCAGCUAAGGUCCCAAAGUCAUGGUUAAGUGGGAAACGAUGUGGGAAGGCACAGACAGCCAGGAUGUUGGCUUAGAAGCAGCCAUCAUUUAAAGAAAGCGUAAUAGCUCACUGGUCGAGUCGGCCUGCGCGGAAGAUGUAACGGGGCUAAACCAUGCACCGAAGCUGCGGCAGCGACACUAUGUGUUGUUGGGUAGGGGAGCGUUCUGUAAGCCGUUGAAGGUGUGCUGUGAGGCAUGCUGGAGGUAUCAGAAGUGCGAAUGCUGACAUAAGUAACGAUAAUGCGGGUGAAAAACCCGCACGCCGGAAGACCAAGGGUUCCUGUCCAACGUUAAUCGGGGCAGGGUGAGUCGACCCCUAAGGCGAGGCCGAAAGGCGUAGUCGAUGGGAAACAGGUUAAUAUUCCUGUACUUGGUGUUACUGCGAAGGGGGGACGGAGAAGGCUAUGUUAGCCGGGCGACGGUUGUCCCGGUUUAAGCAUGUAGGCGGAGAUUCCAGGUAAAUCCGGAGUCUUGCUAACGCUGAGGUGUGAUGACGAGGCACUACGGUGCUGAAGUAACAAAUGCCCUGCUUCCAGGAAAAGCCUCUAAGCAUCAGGUAACACGAAAUCGUACCCCAAACCGACACAGGUGGUCAGGUAGAGAAUACCAAGGCGCUUGAGAGAACUCGGGUGAAGGAACUAGGCAAAAUGGUGCCGUAACUUCGGGAGAAGGCACGCUGAUAUGUAGGUGAAGUGAUUUACUCAUGGAGCUGAAAUCAGUCGAAGAUACCAGCUGGCUGCAACUGUUUAUUAAAAACACAGCACUGUGCAAACACGAAAGUGGACGUAUACGGUGUGACGCCUGCCCGGUGCCGGAAGGUUAAUUGAUGGGGUUAUCCGUAAGGAGAAGCUCUUGAUCGAAGCCCCGGUAAACGGCGGCCGUAACUAUAACGGUCCUAAGGUAGCGAAAUUCCUUGUCGGGUAAGUUCCGACCUGCACGAAUGGCGUAAUGAUGGCCAGGCUGUCUCCACCCGAGACUCAGUGAAAUUGAACUCGCUGUGAAGAUGCAGUGUACCCGCGGCAAGACGGAAAGACCCCGUGAACCUUUACUAUAGCUUGACACUGAACACUGGUCCUUGAUGUGUAGGAUAGGUGGGAGGCUUUGAAGUGUGGACGCCAGUCUGCAUGGAGCCAACCNAUUAAAAUA
rnacentral:rRNA from 1 species